UAUUAUAAUAAGUGUAAAUAAAAAAGGUUUAGGUAGUAAGAGUUAAGAUCUUGAAACUUAAAGAAUUUGGCGGUGUUUUAUUCUGUUCAGAGGAAUCUGUUUUGUAAUCGAUACAACACGAUUGAAUAGACUUGAAUUUAUAAUUUGUAUAUCGCCGUCAUCAGAUUAUUUUGAAUGGAGGAAUUUAAAAUAUUAAGAUAUUUAUUAGGAUAAAAUGUCAGGUCAAGGUGCAGUUUAUAUUUAAGUAUAUAAUGGAUUACAAUAAAUAAAAAUUUAUUUGGAUUAUAAAUAUGAGUAUUUAUAUAAAAUUGGAUUUGAAAGUAAAUUGGUUGAAAUUAAUAAAUUGAAUAAGCGCUGAAGCAUGCACAUAUCGCCCGUCGCUCUCAUAAGGUUUGAG
rnacentral:rRNA from 1 species